CCGGGGUUAGCUCAGCUGGAAGAGCAUGAGACUGUAACGGGUUAACCAAGCAUAUCUCAGGGUCGCCUGUUCGAGCCAGGCACACCGGA
rnacentral:tRNA from 1 species